rnacentral:misc_RNA from 1 species
GAAAUGCGAUAAGUAAUGUGAAUUGCAGAAUUCAGUGAAUCAUCGAAUCUUUGAACGCACAUUGCGCCCGCCAGCACUCUGGCGGGCAUGCCUGUUCGAGCGUCAUUUCAACCCUCAGAACCCCUUGCGGGAUCUGGCGUUGGGGAUUGGCAUCCAGCCAGCCCCGAAAUCUAGUGGCAGUCCCUCCGCGACCUCCCCUGUGCAGUAGCGAUACCUCGCAGCGGGACAGCGGUCUGACCACGCCGUAAAACCCCCAACUUCUCAAGGUUGACCUCGAAUCAGGUAGGAAUACCCGCUGAACUUAAGA